GAAAUGCGAUAAGUAGUGUGAAUUGCAGAAUUCCGUGAAUCAUCGAAUCUUUGAACGCACAUUGUGCCCUCUGGCAUUCCGGGGGGCAUGCCUGUCCGAGCGUCAUUACGCACCCUCAAGCCCGGCUUGUGUGAUGGGCCCCGGCGUCUCGUUCGCGAGACGGGCCCGAAAGGCAGCGGCGGCGUCGACCCGAUGAGCCCGAGCGUAUGGGGACUUCUGUCACACGUUCGCGGUGCGGACCGGCGCCUGCUUGACUUUUCUGAUUAUCCAGGUUGACCUCGGAUCAGGUAGGGAUACCCGCUGAACUUAAGC
rnacentral:misc_RNA from 1 species